rnacentral:rRNA from 1 species
GACGAACGCUGGCGGCGUGCUUAACACAUGCAAGUCGUACGGUAAGGCCCUUUCGGGGGUCCACGAGUGGCGGACGGGUGAGUAACACGUGAGUAACCUGCCCACAACUUUGGGAUAACGCUAGGAAACUGGUGCUACUACUGGAUAUGUGCCCCUGCUGCAUGGUGGGGGUUGGAAAGCUCCGGCGGUUGUGGAUGGACUCGCGGCCUAUCAGCUUGUUGGUGGGGUAGUGGCCUACCAAGGCGGCGACGGGUAGCCGGCCUGAGAGGGUGACCGGCCACAUUGGGACUGAGAUACGGCCCAGACUCCUACGGGAGGCAGCAGUGGGGAAUAUUGCACAAUGGGCGCAAGCCUGAUGCAGCAACGCCGCGUGCGGGAUAACGGCCUUCGGGUUGUAAACCGCUUUCAGCAGGGACGAAGCUUUUUGUGACGGUACCUGCAGAAGAAGCACCGGCUAACUACGUG